GCGGGUGUAGCUCAGUUGGUAGAGCAUCAGCCUUCCAAGCUGAGGGUCGCGAGUUCGAGUCUCGUCGCCCGCU
rnacentral:tRNA from 2 species